GGCUCAGGAUGAACGCUAGCGGCAGGCUUAAUACAUGCAAGUCGUGGGGCAGCAUGAGUAGCAAUACUUGAUGGCGACCGGCAAACGGGUGAGGAACACGUACACAACCUUCCUUCAAGCGGGGAAUAGCCCAGAGAAAUUUGGAUUAAUACCCCAUAAUAUAUUUGAUAAGGCAUCUUAUUAAUAUUAAAGCUUCGGCACUUGAUGAUGGGUGUGCGGCUGAUUAGAUAGUUGGCGGGGUAACGGCCCACCAAGUCUACGAUCAGUAGCUGAUGUGAGAGCAUGAUCAGCCACACGGGCACUGAGACACGGGCCCGACUCCUACGGGAGGCAGCAGUAAGGAUAUUGGACAAUGGACGAAAGUCUGAUCCAGCCAUGCCGCGUGAAGGAUUAAGGUCCUCUGGAUUGUAAACUUCUUUUAUAUGGGACGAAAAAGGGCAUUCUUGUUCACUUGACGGUACCAUAUGAAUAAGCACCGGCUAACUCCGUG
rnacentral:rRNA from 1 species